rnacentral:rRNA from 1 species
GAUAAACGCUGGCGGCGUGCAUGAGACAUGCAAGUCGAACGAAGGAUCGGGCUUGCUCGAUCCUUAGUGGCGGACGGCUGCGUAACGCGUAGGUGACCUACCCCGAAGUGGGGAAUAACUGCCCGAAAGGGUGGCUAAUACCGCAUGUGGUCGCACGUUCAUUCGUGCGAGUAAAGUCGCAAGGCGCUUCGGGAGGGGCCUGCGUCCGCUUAGCUCGUUGGUUGGGUAAUGGCUUACCAAGGCGACGAUCGGUAGGUGGUCUGAAAGGACGAUCACCCAGACUGGGACUGCGGCACGGCCCAGACUCCUACGUGAGGCAGCAGUCGGGAAUUUUGCUCAAUGGGGGAAACCCUGAAGCAGCAACGCCGCGUGAGAGAUGAAGGCCUUCGGGUUGUAAACCUCUUUUGUCAGGGACGAGGAUGACGGUACCUGGCGAAUAGACCACGGCUAACUACGUG